UACGUAGGGGGCGAGCGUUGUCCGGAGUUACUGGGCGUAAAGGGCGUGCAGGCGGUUUUCUAAGUUCGGAGUGACAGUUCCCGGCUCAACUGGGGGAGGCCUACCGAAAACUGGAGAACUUGAGGGCCAGAGAGGGACAUAGAAUUCCGGGUGGAGUGGUGAAAUGCGUAGAUAUCCGGAGGAAUACCAAAGGCGAAGGCAGUGUCCUGGCUGGCAUCUGACGCUGAGGCGCGAAAGCUAGGGGAGCGAACAGG
rnacentral:rRNA from 1 species